rfam:Triticum aestivum genome assembly, contig: Triticum_aestivum_CS42_TGACv1_scaffold_194314_3AL
GUUAUACUCCCUUCGUCUCAAAAUUUUUGUCUUAGAUUUGUCGGAAUAGAUCCAUAUUCCGACAAAUCUAAGACAAAAAUUUUGGGACGGAGGGAGUAGUUC